rnacentral:misc_RNA from 1 species
CUAACUCAAGCUCUUUGCUUGGUGUUGGGUGCCGUCCUCCGGGACGCACCUGGAAAUCAGCGGCGAUGCGGCCGGCGACCAGGCGUAGUAAACCACUUCCGCUUAGGUUCCCCGGGCGCGUUCGCCGGACAACCCUCCAUUUUUUAACUAU